rnacentral:rRNA from 1 species
CGCGUUAAGUGUGCCGCCUGGGGAGUACGGCCGCAAGGUUAAAACUCAAAAGAAAUUGACGGGGGCCCGCACAAGCAGAGGAGCAUGUGGCUUAAUUCGAUGCAACGCGAAGAACCUUACCCGGGUUUGACAUGUGACUGCACGGCCUGUGAAAGCAGGCCUCCUUCGAGGGUGUCACACAGGUGCUGCAUGGCUGUCGUCAGUUCGUGCCGUGAGGUGUUUGGUUAAGUCCAGCAACGAACGCAACCCCUGUGUCCAGUUGCCAGCGCGUAAUGGCGGGAACUCUGGACAGACUGCCCGUUCACACGGGAGGAAGGUGGGGACGACGUCAAGUCAGUAUGGCCCUUACAUCCGGGGCUGCACACGUGCUACAAUGGCCGGUACAAAGGGAAGCAAAGCCGCGAGGCCCAGCCAAUCCCCAAAACCGGCCCCAGUUCAGAUUGGGGUCUGCAACCCGACCCCAUGAAGUCGGAUUUGCUAGUAACGGCGCAUCAGCUACGGCGCCGUGAAUACGUUCCCGGGCCUUGUACACACCGCCCGUCACAUCAUGAAAGCCGUCUGCACCCGAUACCGGCGCACCAACCCGCAAGGGAGGGAGCCGUCUAAGGUGUGGGUGGUGAUUGGGAU